rnacentral:misc_RNA from 1 species
GUGAGGCCUUCUGACUGGCGCCGAUACUCUGGCAACAGAGCGCCGGAUGCCGGGAAGUUGGUCAAACUUGAUCAUUUAGAGGAAGUAAAAGUCGUAACAAGGUUUCCGUAGGUGAACCUGCGGAAGGAUCAUUACCGAUUUCCAAACGUGGUCAUCACGAACCCGUGUGAACCUGUCGCAACCAUUUAGGGGUCGGCCCGGGUGCCGUUAAAUGGUCGGGCGUCCGUCGAUUCGGCGUGCGGCCAGCCCCGCCUUUGUCACAUUUGACGCACUUGAAUGUACCGGUCUGAAACGUUUCCCUGCCUGCUGCCAGCAGGUUGGAGGGGAAAGAGAAAACAAAAAAGCGAGAGACAACUUUUAACGGUGGAUCUCUUGGCUCACGUAUCGAUGAAGAACGCAGCCAGCUGCGAUAAGUAGUGUGAAUUGCAGAAUUCAGUGAAUCAUCGAAUCUUUGAACGCAAAUGGCGCUCUUGGGUUCUCCCAGGAGCAUGUCUGUCUGAGUGUCGGAUAACAUGGAACGCACGCCGGGCGUGCGGAAUUGGGGCGUCACGGCCCGGGCGCCGUGUCCCCCGAAGGAGAGCGUGCUGGAAUCGCGCGGCGACCCACCUCCGUGCGAAGGCUAAAAGCUAUCUUGAAGUCCUUCGCCGAGGUGCGGCUCCACCGCGGCGGAUCGGCCGAACGAAAGGUGAAACUUUUGAUCUGACCUCAGAUCA